rnacentral:pre_miRNA from 1 species
AGUGUGAUUGCGGUAUCAUAUGGUAAGAAUGUGUUUAGCUUAAUAAGAAAUUGCCAAACUGUUUUCUGAAGUGGCUAUACCACUCUGCAUUCCCAUCAGCAAU